CCUACGGGUGGCUGCAGUGAGGAAUAUUGGUCAAUGGACGAGCGUCUGAACCAGCCAAGUAGCGUGAAGGAUGACUGCCCUAUGGGUUGUAAACUUCUUUUAUAUGGGAAUAACAUGUUCCACGUGUGGGAUUUUGUAUGUACCCUAUGAAUAAGGAUCGGUUAAACCCGUGCCAGCAGCCGCGGUAAUACGGUGGAUCCGAGCGUUUUCCGGAUUUAUUGGGUUUAAAGGGAGCGUAGGUGGAUUGUUAAGUCAGUUGUGAAAGUUUGCGGCUCAACCGUAAAAUUGCAGUUGAAACUGGCAGUCUUGAGUACAGUAGAGGUGGGCGGAAUUCGUGGGGUAGCGGUGAAAUGCUUAGAUAUCACGAAGAACUCCGAUUGCGAAGGCAGUUCACUGGACUGCAACUGACACUGAGGCUCGAAAGUGUGGGUAUCAAACAGGAUUAGAUACCCCAGUAGUC
rnacentral:rRNA from 1 species